GGGGGCGUAAUGGCUUCGACAGGGAGUGUGAGCUUCGGCAAGCGAGCAGCGGCACUGUGGAACCGCUAUAAAAUCCGCAGGCAUAAAAAUAAACGACAGAACUAAUCCUGUUGCUACCGCUGCUUAAUUAGCAGCGGUCGUUCCCUCCGGAAGCACCACGAUCCGGAGGGGGCGUCGAUCAGUGGUGAACGUGAACAGCAGAGUGUCCUGACUGCUGUCAUGAUCUAAGGACUACCGAAACACAGGGUUCGUUAUCGGACACUGUGCGGGGGGAAUCUAUCAAACGAUAACUGCGCUCGGAGAAAACCGUUGUAAGUGCUUUUUGGACAGGGGUUCGAUUCCCCUCGCCUCCAU
rnacentral:tmRNA from 1 species